UACGAAGGGGGCUAGCGUUGCUCGGAAUUACUGGGCGUAAAGGGCGCGUAGGCGGCCUUCUAAGUCAGACGUGAAAUCCCCCGGCUUAACCUGGGAACUGCGUCUGAUACUGGGAGGCUCGAGUAUGGGAGAGGGAUGUAGAAUUCCAGGUGUAGCGGUGAAAUGCGUAGAUAUCUGGAGGAAUACCGGUGGCGAAGGCGGCAUCCUGGACCAUUACUGACGCUGAGGCGCGAAAGCUAGGGGAGCAAACGGG
rnacentral:rRNA from 1 species